UAGGGAAUCUUCGGCAAUGGACGAAUGUCUGACCGAGCAACGCCGCGUGAGUGAAGAAGGUUUUCGGAUCGUAAAACUCUGUUGGUAGAGAAGAACGUUGGUGAGAGUGGAAAGCUCAUCAAGUGACGGUAACUACCCAGAAAGGGCGGCUAACUACGUGUCAG
rnacentral:rRNA from 1 species